UCUGCAGGUUUCACGAGAUCCUGAAGAACCUAGCGGAGAGCGACGAGGGCAAGCUGCACAUCCUCAAGGUGGUCUAUGAAGUGUGGAAGAACCACCCGCAGAUGACCGCCGUUUUGGUGGACAAAAUGAUCCGGACGCAGAUCGUGGACUGCGCCGCCGUGGCCAACUGGCUCUUCUCCCAGGACAUGGCUCACGAGUUCACCAUACUUUACAUUUGGGAGAUCCUGCACUCCACCAUGCGGAAGAUGAACAAACAUGUCCAGAAGAUCCCGAAGGAGCUUGAGGAGGCCAAGGACAAGCUGGAAAAACAGCAACAUAAGAGGG